rnacentral:rRNA from 1 species
AGCGAACGCUGGCGGCAGGCCUAACACAUGCAAGUCGAACGAACUCUUCGGAUCUAGCGGCGGACGGGUGAGUAACACGUGGGAACGUGCCCUUCGGUACGGAAUAACUCAGGGAAACUUGUGCUAAUACCGAAUGCGCCCUUCGGGGGAAAGAUUUAUCGCCAUUAGAGCGGCCCGCGUCGGAUUAGGUAGUUGGUGAGGUAACGGCUCACCAAGGCGACGAUCCGUAGCUGGUCUGAGAGGAUGACCAGCCACACUGGGACUGAGACACGGCCCAGACUCCUACGGGAGGCAGCAGUGGGGAAUCUUGCGCAAUGGGCGAAAGCCUGACGCAGCCAUGCCGCGUGAAUGAUGAAGGCCUUAGGAUUGUAAAGUUCUUUCACCUGGGACGAUAAUGACGGUACCCGGAGAAGAAGCCCCGGCUAACUUCGUG